GUGUAGCCACACUCUCAGUCUUGAAGGAGUUCCAAAAGUUCCUGAGCAAUUGUUGGCUUCCUGUCUUUCACUCUGUGAUCCAACUUAUCCCAAAUCAUCUUAUUAAUUGGUUUGAGUGCGGGUGAUUGUGGAGGUCAGCUUAUCUGAUGGAGCACCAUCCCUCUCUUUAUGGUCAAACAGCCCUUACUCAGCCUGAAGGUGUGUUUUGGGUCAUUGUCCUGUUGAAAAACAAACGAUAAUCCCACCACAAGCAUACACAGAUGGUAUGGCGUAUCACUGCAGAAUGCUGAGGUAGCCAUGCUGGUUUAGUAUGCCUUGAAUUCCAAAUAAAUCCCAGAGACCAGAAAAGUACCCCCACACCAUCACACCUCACCCUGUCUCUGUCUGUAGUCCCCUCCUCCUUCAAACAGACCAAAAUCCCUGUACUGAAGAAACCUUUCAUCACCUGCCUGAUUGACUACCACCCUGUAGCACUAAUCUCCAUCAUCAUGAACUGCUUCAAGCAGCUGGUCAGAACUCACAUCUGCUGGAGCCCCACUGGAUUGCAUACUCAGUCCCUUCCUGUACUCCCUGUUCACACAUGACUGUGUGGCCACACAAAGCUUGACCAUCAUCCUCAAAUUCGGAGACGACACUACCAUCCUGGGUCUCAUCUCCAACAACAACGAGACCGCAUAUAGUGAGGAGGUAAGGAACCUGGCUACAUCUUCUCUCUCAACAUCUGCAAGACUAAAGACAUGAUCGUGGACUUCAGGAAGCAGCGGAGGGGGGUCAUGCCCCCAUACACAUCAAUGGAGCUGAAGUGAAGAGUGUCUCCGAAUUCAAGUUUCUCUGUGUGCUCAUCAAUGAUGACCUCACUUGGUCCAGACAAGGAAACUCGGCAGUGAAUACUGCCCAAAAACAACUAUACUUCCUGAGCAGACUCAAGAAAAUUGGCAUGUCUUAAAAAACUUCUCACCAACUUCUACAGGUGCACCACAAGCAUCCUCUCGGCCAGCAUUACUGCCUGAUAUGGCAGCUGCUCCGCUGAAGGCCGCAAGUCUCAAAAACAGUUUUUUCCCUCAGGCCAUCAGGCUCCUCAACCAGCAACAAUGAUCCAUGAUCAUACUGAUCACACACAAACUUUCCAGAUGCUCUGAUGUCCUUUCAAGUACUUUUAAUGGGUAUUAAAAUAUUCCUUUGCAUGUACCAUUCAUAAGCAUAUUACACUCUUUAAUACUCAAUACCUCUACCAUAC
ensembl:lncRNA